UACGAAGGGGGCUAGCGUUGUUCGGAAUCACUGGGCGUAAAGAGCUCGUAGGUGGUUUGUCGCGUUGUUCGUGAAAACCGGGGGCUUAACCCUCGGCGUGCGGGCGAUACGGGCAGACUUGAGUACUGCAGGGGAGACUGGAAUUCCUGGUGUAGCGGUGGAAUGCGCAGAUAUCAGGAGGAACACCUAUUGCGAAGGCAGCUCGCUGGGACGUAACUGACGCUGAGACGCGAAAGCGUGGGGAGCAAACAGG
rnacentral:rRNA from 1 species